UACGGAGGGUGCAAGCGUUGUUCGGAAUCAUUGGGCGUAAAGCGUGCGCAGGCGGCUUCGCAAGUCAGACGUGAAAUCCCCGGGCUUAACCUGGGAAUGGCGUUUGAAACUACGGAGCUGGAGUGUGGCAGAGGGAGGUAGAAUUCCACGUGUAGCGGUGAAAUGCGUAGAUAUGUGGAGGAAUACCGAUGGCGAAGGCAGCCUCCUGGGCCAACACUGACGCUCAUGCACGAAAGCGUGGGGAGCAAACAGG
rnacentral:rRNA from 1 species